CCUACGGGGGGCAGCAGUGGGGAAUAUUGGGCAAUGGAGGAAACUCUGACCCAGCAACGCCGCGUGAAUGAUGAAGGUCUUCGGAUUGUAAAGUUCUUUUCUAAGGGAAGAAGAAAGUGACGGUACCUUAGGAAUAAGCCUCGGCUAACUACGUGCCAGCAGCCGCGGUAAUACGUAGGAGGCGAGCGUUAUCCGGAAUGACUGGGCGUAAAGGGUGCGUAGGUGGUUUGGCAAGUUAGUAGCGUAACUCCAAGGCUCAACCUUGGAACUACUACUAAAACUGUUGGACUUGAGUGCAGGAGGGGCAACCGGAAUUCCUAGUGUAGCGGUGGAAUGCGUAGAUAUUAGGAGGAACACUCGUGGCGAAGGCGGGUUCCUGGACAUUAACUGACGCUGAGGCACGAAGGCCAGGGGAGCGAAAGGGAUUAGAUACCCUGUAGUC
rnacentral:rRNA from 1 species